rnacentral:tRNA from 1 species
GGGGCGUUAGCUCAGUCGGUUAGAGCAGCGGACUCAUAAUCCGUCGGUCGCGGGUUCAAGUCCCGCACGCCCUACCA